GUGUUGGGGGGUUCCACCCUCAGUGCUGACGUUAACACAUUAAGCACUCCGCCUGGGGAGUACGGCCGCAAGGCUGAAACUCAAAGGAAUUGACGGGGGCCCGCACAAGCAGUGGAGCAUGUGGUUUAAUUCGAAGCAACGCGAAGAACCUUACCAGGUCUUGACAUCCUCUGACCACUCUAGAGAUAGAGCUUUCCCCUUCGGGGGACAGAGUGACAGGUGGUGCAUGGUUGUCGUCAGCUCGUGUCGUGAGAUGUUGGGUUAAGUCCCGCAACGAGCGCAACCCUUGACCUUAGUUGCCAGCAUUCAGUUGGGCACUCUAAGGUGACUGCCGGUGACAAACCGGAGGAAGGUGGGGAUGACGUCAAAUCAUCAUGCCCCUUAUGACCUGGGCUACACACGUGCUACAAUGGGUGGUACAAAGGGUUGCAAAGCCGCGAGGCCGAGCCAAUCCCAAAAAGCCACUCUCAGUUCGGAUUGUAGGCUGCAACUCGCCUACAUGAAGCCGGAAUUGCUAGUAAUCGCGGAUCAGCAUGCCGCGGUGAAUACGUUCCCGGGCCUUGUACACACCGCCCGUCACACCACGAGAGUUUGUAACACCCGAAGCCGGUGGGGUAACCUUUUGGAGCCAGCCGUCGAAGGUGGGACAGAUGAUUGGGGUGAAGUCUCA
rnacentral:rRNA from 1 species